CGGCAGGCUUAACACAUGCAAGUCGAACGAGGUUAGAAAGCUUGCUUUUGAUACCUAGUGGCGGACGGGUGAGUAAUGCUUAGGAAUCUGCCUAGUAGUGGGGGAUAACUUGGGGAAACUCAAGCUAAUACCGCAUACGACCUACGGGUGAAAGGGGGCGCAAGCUCUCGCUAUUAGAUGAGCCUAAGUCGGAUUAGCUAGUUGGUGGGGUAAAGGCCUACCAAGGCGACGAUCUGUAGCUGGUCUGAGAGGAUGAUCAGCCACACUGGGACUGAGACACGGCCCAGACUCCUACGGGAGGCAGCAGUGGGGAAUAUUGGACAAUGGGCGAAAGCCUGAUCCAGCCAUGCCGCGUGUGUGAAGAAGGCCUUUUGGUUGUAAAGCACUUUAAGUGGGGAGGAAAAGUUAAUGGUUAAUACCCAUUAGCCCUGACGUUACCCACAGAAUAAGCACCG
rnacentral:rRNA from 1 species